rnacentral:rRNA from 1 species
CGCAUUAAGCAUUCCGCCUGGGGAGUACGGUCGCAAGACUAAAACUGCAAAGUAAUUGACGGGGGCCCGCACAANCGGUGGAGUAUGUGGUUUAAUUCGACGCAACGCGCAGAACCUUACCCGGCCUUGACAUCCCUGGAACAAUUUCGAAAGUAACUGGUGCCUCCUCACGGAGGAAUCAGGUGACAGGUGCUGCAUGGCUGUCGUCAGCUCGUGUCGUGAGAUGUUCGGUUAAGUCCGGCAACGAGCGCAACCCCUGUCGUUAGUUGCCAGCAUUUCGGAUGGGCACUUUAACGAGACUCCCGGUGUCAAACCGGCGGAAGAUGGGGAUGACGUCAAGUCCUCAUGGCCCUUAUGGUCGGGGCUACACACGUACUACAAUGGCACGUACAAAGGGUCGCGAAACCGCGAGGUCAAGCUAAUCCCAAAAAAGGUGCCUCAGUUCGGAUUGGAGUCUUGCGACUCGACUCCAUGAAGUCGGAAUCGCGUAAUAAUCAGUGG